GACGAACGCUGGCGGCGUGCCUAAUACAUGCAAGUUGAGCGCUGAAGGUUGGUACUUGUACCAACUGGAUGAGCAGCGAACGGGUGAGUAACGCGUGGGGAAUCUGCCUUUGAGCGGGGGACAACAUUUGGAAACGAAUGCUAAUACCGCAUAAAAACUUUAAACACAAGUUUUAAGUUUGAAAGAUGCAAUUGCAUCACUCAAAGAUGAUCCCGCGUUGUAUUAGCUAGUUGGUGAGGUAAAGGCUCACCCAGGCGAGGAUACAUAGCCGACCUGAGAGGGUGAUCGGCCACAGUGGGACUGAGACACGGCCCAAACUCCUACGGGAGGCAGCAGUAGGGAAUCUUCGGCAAUGGACGAAAGUCUGACCGAGCAACGCCGCGUGAAUGAAGAAGGUUUUCGGAUCGUAAAACUCUGUUGGUAGAGAAGAACGUUGGUGAGAGUGGAAAGCUCAUCAAGUGACGGUAACUACCCAGAAAGGGACGGCUAACUACGUG
rnacentral:rRNA from 1 species